UACGUAGGGUGCAAGCGUUGUCCGGAAUUAUUGGGCGUAAAGAGCUCGUAGGCGGCUUGUCGCGUCGGCUGUGAAAACCUGGGGCUCAACCCCGGGCCUGCAGUGGGUACGGGCAGACUAGAGUGUGGUAGGGGAGACUGGAAUUCCUGGUGUAGCGGUGGAAUGCGCAGAUAUCAGGAGGAACACCGAUGGCGAAGGCAGGUCUCUGGGCCACUACUGACGCUGAGAAGCGAAAGCAUGGGGAGCGAACAGG
rnacentral:rRNA from 1 species